GAUUAUUAAAUUCUCCGAGCCUGGCAAACCUUAGCCGGAGGUAUGGUUGCCAGGCCGUUAGGGUGCUCUAAGAAAUUAGAUCGCCUCCCAUUGUGGAAAGGAGUGCAUGGCAUUGCUUC
rnacentral:ncRNA from 1 species